UUUAUUGCUGAAAGAUGGCCUCGCGUCUGAUUAGCUGGUUGGUGAGGUAACGGCCCACCAAGGCGACGAUCAGUAGCCGGUCUGAGAGGAUGAACGGCCACAUUGGGACUGAGAUACGGCCCAGACUCCUACGGGAGGCAGCAGUGGGGAAUAUUGGGCAAUGGGGGAAACCCUGACCCAGCAACGCCGCGUGAAGGAAGAAGGCCUUCGGGUUGUAAACUUCUUUUACCAGGGACGAAAAAGAUGACGGUACCUGGAGAAAAAGCAACGGCUAACUACGUGCCAGCAGCCGCGGUAAUACGUAGGUUGCAAGCGUUGUCCGGAUUUACUGGGUGUAAAGGGCGUGUAGGCGGAGAUGCAAGUUGGGAGUGAAAUCCAUGGGCUCAACCCAUGAACUGCUCUCAAAACUGUAUCCCUUGAGUAUCGGAGAGGCAAGCGGAAUUCCUAGUGUAGCGGUGAAAUGCGUAGAUAUUAGGAGGAACACCAGUGGCGAAGGCGGCUUGCUGGACGACAACUGACGCUGAGGCGCGAAAGCAUGGGGAGCAAACAGGAUUAGAUACCCUGGUAGUCCACGCUGUAAACGAUGAAUACUAGGUGUGGGAGGACUGACCCCUUCCGUGCCGCAGUUAACACAAUAAGUAUUCCACCUGGGGGAGUACGACCGCAAGGGUUGAAACUCAAAGGAAUUGACGGGGGCCCGCACAA
rnacentral:rRNA from 1 species